UACGAAGGGGCUAGCGUUGCUCGGAAUCACUGGGCGUAAAGCGCACGUAGGCGGAUUGUUAAGUCAGGGGUGAAAUCCUGGAGCUCAACUCCAGAACUGCCUUUGAUACUGGCGAUCUUGAGUCCGGGAGAGGUGAGUGGAACUCCGAGUGUAGAGGUGAAAUUCGUAGAUAUUCGGAAGAACACCAGUGGCGAAGGCGGCUUACUGGUCCGGAACUGACGCUGAGGUGCGAAAGCGUGGGGAGCAAACAGGG
rnacentral:rRNA from 1 species